rnacentral:rRNA from 1 species
GAUGAACGCUGGCGGCGUGCCUAAUACAUGCAAGUCGAGCGAACAGACGAGGAGCUUGCUCCUCUGACGUUAGCGGCGGACGGGUGAGUAACACGUGGAUAACCUUUCUCUAAGACUGGGAUACCUUCGAGAAACCGGAGCUCAUACCAGAUGAUAUUUUGAACCGCAUGGUUCAGUAGUGAUUGACGGUUUUGCUGUCAAUUAUCGGUGGAUCCGCGCCGCAUUAGCUAGUUGGUAAGGUAACGGCUUACCAAGGCGACGAUGCGUAGCCGACCUGAGCGGGUGAUCGGCCACACUGGAGCUGAGACACGGUCCAGACUCCUACGGGAGGCAGCAGUAGGGAAUCUUGCGCAAUGGGCGAAAGCCUGACGGAGCAACGCCGCGUUAGUGAUGAAGGUCUGCGGAUCGUAAAACUCUGUUAUUAGGGAAGAACAAAUGUGUAAGUAACGAUGCACGGCGUGACGGUACCUAAUCAGAAAGCCACGGCUAACUACGUG